rnacentral:misc_RNA from 1 species
UUAAGUUCAGCGGGUAUUCCUACCUGAUCCGAGGUCAACGUUCAGAAGUCGGGGGUUUUACGGCGUGGCCACGUCGGGGUUCCGGUGCGAGUUGGAUUACUACGCAGAGGUCGCCGCGGACGGGCCGCCACUUCAUUUCGGGGCCGGCGGUAUACGGCCGGUCCCCAACGCCGAUUUCCCCAAAGGAAGUCGAGGGUUGA